UACGGGGGGAGCAAGCGUUGUUCGGAUUUACUGAGCGUAAAGGGCGCGUAGGCGGUCAGCACAAGUCAGUUGUGAAAUCUCCGGGCUUAACUCGGAAAGGUCAACUGAUACUGUGCGACUAGAGUGCAGAAGGGGCAACUGGAAUUCUCGGUGUAGCGGUGAAAUGCGUAGAUAUCGAGAGGAACACCUGCGGCGAAGGCGGGUUGCUGGGCUGACACUGACGCUGAUGCGCGAAAGCCAGGGGAGCGAACGGG
rnacentral:rRNA from 1 species